UCCUCUAUAGUUCAACGGUAGAACAUUAGCCGAACAAGCUUAGCACGAUGGUUCGACUCCAUCAAGAGGAA
rnacentral:tRNA from 1 species